rnacentral:rRNA from 1 species
AGAUUGAACGCUGGCGGCAUGCCUAACACAUGCAAGUCGAACGGUAACGCGGGGGCAACCCUGGCGACGAGUGGCGGACGGGUGAGUAAUACGUAGGAAUCUGCCCAUUUGUGGGGGAUAACCCGGCGAAAGCCGGGCUAAUACCGCAUACGCUCUACGGAGGAAAGCGGGGGGAUCGUAAGACCUCGCGCUAAUGGAUGAGCCUACGUCGGAUUAGCUAGUUGGUGGGGUAACGGCCUACCAAGGCGACGAUCCGUAGCUGGUCUGAGAGGACGAUCAGCCACACUGGGACUGAGACACGGCCCAGACUCCUACGGGAGGCAGCAGUGGGAAUAUUGGACAGUGGGGGCAACCCUGAUCCAGCAAUGCGCGUGUGUGAGAAGCCUGCGGGUUGUAAAGCACUUCAGUAGGGAAGAAAAAAGUGGAAGCUAACACCGUCCGAGCUUAGACGUUACCCAUAAGAAGAAGCACCGGACUAACCGUACCGUCG